rnacentral:rRNA from 1 species
AGCAGUCGCCGCGGUAAUACAGAGGGUGCGAGCGUUAAUCGGAUUUACUGGGCGUAAAGCGUGCGUAGGCGGCUAAUUGAGUCGGAUGUGAAAUCCCCGAGCUUAACUUGGGAAUUGCAUUCGAUACUGGUUAGCUAGAGUGUGGGAGAGGAUGGUAGAAUUCCAGGUGUAGCGGUGAAAUGCGUAGAGAUCUGGAGGAAUACCGAUGGCGAAGGCAGCCAUCUGGCCUAACACUGACGCUGAGGUACGAAAGAAUGGGGAGCAAACAGGAUUAGAUACCCCCGUAGUCCCUGUCUCUUAUAC